GUUCUUCUAUCAGCAUUGUCAGAAAUAAGGAUGAUAUUGCGCCUGCUCUGUCGACUGACUUCUCGAUUAAUUCAGAACCAGAGUGAGAAGAGUGGUGCUGGUUAUCAGGGUCUGGGAACUGGCAGAGGCAGCCAUAGGUGAGAGAGCCAGGCCUCUGGAUGGGAUAGGCACGGGUCAAGCUCAGCAUUUUGCCUACGGCAUCGUAGAUGAAGAUGAGGCUGAUGAGCGCACAGAAGCCUUCCUCGGUGAAGCGGACCUCCGAAAGUGAUGGCGUUAGUGACGGUGGCCAGAUAGAUGUACAGCACGGCCGAGAAGCACUGAGGGUGCAGGGCGUCCAAGAAGUCGCUGGGGUACCACGAGGCCUUCCUGCACACGUCCUGGACAAGGCCCCCAAACAGCCUCCCGCCCGUGGGUCG